rnacentral:rRNA from 1 species
GUGGGGAAUCUUGCGCAAUGGGCGAAAGCCUGACGCAGCAACGCCGCGUGCGGGAUGAAGGCCUUCGGGUCGUAAACCGCUGUCAAGAGGGACGAAGCGAAAGUGACGGUACCUCUAGAGGAAGCCCCGGCUAACUACGUGCCAGCAGCCGCGGUAAUACGUAGGGGGCAAGCGUUGUCCGGAUUCAUUGGGCGUAAAGCGCGCGUAGGCGGCUUGGCAGGUCGGGUGUGAAAACCGGGGGCUUAACCCGCGGACUGCACUCGAAACCGCCAGGCUUGAGUCCGGUAGAGGAAAGUGGAAUUCCUAGUGUAGCGGUGAAAUGCGCAGAUAUUAGGAAGAACACCAGUGGCGAAGGCGGCUUUCUGGGCCGCGACUGACGCUGAGGCGCGAAAGCUAGGGGAGCGAACAGGAUUAGAAACCCGGGUAGUCC